rnacentral:lncRNA from 1 species
UCGCUUGUCACGGAUUAAGCAUUUCAGGCAAUUUCAUCAAAAUAUUUGGUGCAAACCUUUCCCUACUGAAAGGAGCCUAAAGAGCUAGUGAUCUGUGGAAUUCUCUAGAAGCCUACAGAUGUAGCAAGAAGGCUAGAUAUUUUUCUAAGCUUUUAUAGAAGUUGCUGUAAGAAUCCUAACCAUUAGAAUUAUGCCACUUUUACGUAAUCCUAACCAUUUAUUGUACUUGGUAGAUCCUAUAAAAGGAAGGGAGGUCUCACUGGCCAAACCACCAAGUGAGGAGUUGAGAGUUCUCUAGUAAAUACUACUCUUCAUUCUCCCAAAUUCUCUCUCUCGUGGGCUCUUCUCCUCUCUUUCUAAAAGUUCUAGCUUAAGGUGCUAGAGUGAUAGGCUAACUUAGAAAUCAUUGUAGCCAAGCAAGGCUUCUAAGUGCCGCAUGGGAACUCGAGGAAAUACGAAGCCCGCGACAUCCUGCCUGUGCUGCAUAGCAGCAAUCAUGAAGAGUGCCACAAGAGUGUUUAAGGCAUUGGAGGCACUGUUUGCUUGAUAGAUGAUAUCAAGUGCAUUGAACCAGCCCAUAGUUUUCUAUAGAUCUUGUAACAUGCAAGUUUUUCGGUGGCAAACAUAAGAGAGAAGAAUUUGAAAGAUGCCAUUUAGAAAUCUCAAUCAUCAUUUUUCCUAGUUGCGGAUCAAAUCUUUUUCCCUCUGUAACGUUGAUUGUAUCCCACAUGUGAACUCUUGGAGACUCGUCCAACUUUGAGCAGAAAUUUGUGAUAGUGGAGUACUUGCGACAUUCAUCAAACCAGAUAAUUGCAGAUGGGCGUAGCUGAAUGAGAUCCAAAGAUGCAUUGUUGAGGCAAUCUAAACAUGCAGAUGGUGUUGACAUAUUCCUCUAGUACCGUCCUGUUCCGCUGAGAGAACGAUAUUUUUGAUCUUUUUUCUUUCCUUCAUGUACUUAUUAACCUUCAAGAAUUCAUAUCCUGAUGGCAUUGAUGUGUUCCUCUGGUAUUAUAUAGUUCCGGUAAGAGAAUGGUAUUUGGGAUGCCCCUGAGAGACUGCUUCGCUCAUAGACUAGGAUUUCUCAGCUGUCCCAGUUGGUACUGGUCAGGACAGACCAGGAAGCUAUCUGGGUCCCUUGGUACCAAACAGAUAGGUGGAUCCCUCUCUUUUUUCUGAACAAAAGUGGGUUCUCUUUUAUCUCCUCUUGUUCAUCCACAGAAGGGAGGAAAAGUGAGAAAUACAGGAAGAGAGGAAGGACAAGCAGGGAGAAAAGAGAGAGAGGAGAGGAAAAAGUCAAACCCCAUAAACCUAUCUAUCGACUUCAAAAUUCUAUCAAGGAUUUUAAAAAAUGUAAAAAUGCACUAAUAUUUUAUUAAAAACAAUAAAAGUUAUAAAAUUGACGAAAAAAUUUAGGACAAAGGAAAAGUGGCAUAAUCUAGGAUGCCAGCUUGUUAUGAGUGUUGGGAUAGAAAUGCCCCAGUAUUGUACUGACCUGGGACCAAACUGAGGUGGGUACCACUACUGAGACUUGAAUCUUUGUUAACCUUCAUUCAUAAACUCCAAUUUUCAGAGUUUAUGUUGGAAAUUCAGUCAUCUGUCUAUUUGUUGCAAACAGAAUAAUCUGAAAUUCACUAUACUUGCAAUUGCAUUUGGUACCCCUUUCUUUUUGAACGUACCAGAAACUAUAGGUGUCAUUACACAGAGAUACUUAGCAUAGACUGGAAGUGAGAAACGAAGAUACUUGUUGCAUCUGCAAAGGCAGUUUAUGUAUUUAUAUAAACUACUAAAGCACACAAGAAAAGUUUCCAAUACUAUUGUCAGUGGCACCCAUCUUGCUUAAAU